AUACGGAGGGUGCAAGCGUUACUCGGAAUCACUGGGCGUAAAGCGCGCGCAGGCGGCUUGAUAAGUUGGAUGUGAAAGCCUACGGCUCAACCGUAGAACUGCAUCCAAAACUGUCAGGCUAGAGUGGGGGAGAGGAAGAUGGAAUUAGUUGUGUAGGGGUAAAAUCCGUAGAGAUAACUAGGAAUACCAAAAGCGAAGGCCAUCUUCUGGAACACUACUGACGCUGAGGCGCGAAGGCGUGGGGAGCAAACAGGAUUAGAAACCCUAGUAGUCC
rnacentral:rRNA from 1 species